GAUGAACGCUAGCGGCAGGCUUAAUACAUGCAAGUCGAGGGGCAGCACGUCUUCGGAUGGUGGCGACCGGCAAACGGGUGCGGAACACGUACACAACCUUCCUUUUAGUGGGGGAAGGCCAGGGAAAAUUUGGAUUAUACCCCCGAAGAUAAUUAAGUUGGAUUACUUUGUAAUUAAAGGUUUAAUGGCUGAAGGUUGGUGUGGGGCUGAUUAGGUUGUUGGCGGAGUAAUAGCCCACCAAGCCGACGAUCAGUAGCUGAUGUGAGAGCAUGAUCAGCCACACGGGCACUGAGACACGGGCCCGACUCCUACGGGAGGCAGCAGUAAGGAAUAUUGGACAAUGGGCGAAAGCCUGAUCCAGCCAUGCCGCGUGAAGGAUUAAGGUCCUCUGGAUUGUAAACUUCUUUUAUUUGGGACGAAAAAAGAUCAUUCUUGAUCACUUGACGGUACCAGAUGAAUAAGCACCGGCUAACUCCGUGCCAGCCGCCGCAGUAAGAC
rnacentral:rRNA from 1 species